rnacentral:rRNA from 1 species
CGAAUGCUGACAUAAGUAACGAUAAAGCGGGUGAAAAGCCCGCUCGCCGGAAGACCAAGGGUUCCUGUCCAACGUUAAUCGGGGCAGGGUGAGUCGACCCCUAAGGCGAGGCCGAAAGGCGUAGUCGAUGGGAAACAGGUUAAUAUUCCUGUACUUGGUGUUACUGCGAAGGGGGGACGGAGAAGGCUAUGUUGGCCGGGCGACGGUUGUCCCGGUUUAAGCGUGUAGGCUGGUUUUCCAGGCAAAUCCGGAAAAUCAAGGCUGAGGCGUGAUGACGAGGCACUACGGUGCUGAAGCAACAAAUGCCCUGCUUCCAGGAAAAGCCUCUAAGCAUCAGGUAACAUCAAAUCGUACCCCAAACCGACACAGGUGGUCAGGUAGAGAAUACCAAGGCGCUUGAGAGAACUCGGGUGAAGGAACUAGGCAAAAUGGUGCCGUAACUUCGGGAGAAGGCACGCUGAUAUGUAGGUGAAGUCCCUUGCGGAUGGAGCUGAAAUCAGUCGAAGAUACCAGCUGGCUGCAACUGUUU